rnacentral:rRNA from 1 species
GCAGUCGAACGGUAGCACAGAGAGCUUGCUCUCGGGUGACGAGUGGCGGACGGGUGAGUAAUGUCUGGGAAACUGCCUGAUGGAGGGGGAUAACUACUGGAAACGGUAGCUAAUACCGCAUAACGUCGCAAGACCAAAGAGGGGGACCUUCGGGCCUCUUGCCAUCAGAUGUGCCCAGAUGGGAUUAGCUAGUAGGUGGGGUAACGGCUCACCUAGGCGACGAUCCCUAGCUGGUCUGAGAGGAUGACCAGCCACACUGGAACUGAGACACGGUCCAGACUCCUACGGGAGGCAGCAGUGGGGAAUAUUGCACAAUGGGCGCAAGCCUGAUGCAGCCAUGCCGCGUGUAUGAAGAAGGCCUUCGGGUUGUAAAGUACUUUCAGCGGGGAGGAAGGUGUUGUGGUUAAUAACCACAGCAAUUGACGUUACCCGCAGAAGAAGCACCGGCUAACUCCGUGCCAGCAGCCGCGGUAAUACGGAGGGUGCAAGCGUUAAUCGGAAUUACUGGGCGUAAAGCGCACGCAGGCGGUCUGUCAAGUCGGAUGUGAAAUCCCCGGGCUCAACCUGGGAACUGCAUUCGAAACUGGCAGGCUGGAGUCU